rnacentral:rRNA from 1 species
AGCCCACCAGCUAGCUCACACCCUAAAAUACAACAACCCUAUAUAAAUAAACCCUAAUAAACCCAAACACCUAAAACAAACCAUUUUACCCCCUAAGUAUGGGCGACAGAAAAG